rnacentral:misc_RNA from 1 species
CUGAAAUCGGCGGGCGUCCAACGACGCGAGGAGAGGCCACGCGCAUCAUGGCGCCACCGGAGCUCCCGCGCGGUGAUCCAGAAUUAUAUUUUUUUAUUAAAUCUGUGCCGAAGCAGCAGCCCGCGGCGACGACGGGGAAGAUCUCGCCGCGCCGGGCUCACCGCGCGGAAGAGAGCAUAUGGGAUUAGAGGGAAAGCAGAGGGGAAAGGAACUCUGGGCACCGCGCAGAAGAGAGCAGAGGGAAAGCACCUGGCUCUGAGUAGCUCGCCGGUCAGCAAUCAGCAUGAUGGAGGAAGAGGAGAGCAGAGGGGAAAGGGGACUCACCACGCUGAGGAGCUCGCCGGCCAGGCGGCCAGCAGCAGGGUGAAGGAGGCGGCGCUAGAUCUGAGGACGAGAAGGGCUCGUGAGGUGCCUUGUCCCGCGGAGGACGAUAUUAUCCGUCUAAUUUGGAGGGACGAACAGGGACAACAUUCUACUGAUAGAUUUUUCUAG